GAUGAACGCUAGCUACAGGCUUAACACAUGCAAGUCGAGGGGAAACGAUAUUGGAAGCUUGCUUCCGAUAGGCGUCGACCGGCGCACGGGUGAGUAACGCGUAUCCAACCUGCCCAUCACUUGGGGAUAACCUUGCGAAAGUAAGACUAAUACCCAAUGAUAUUUAUAGAAGGCAUCCGAAAUGAAUUAAAGAUUUAUCGGUGAUGGAUGGGGAUGCGUCUGAUUAGCUUGUUGGCGGGGUAACGGCCCACCAAGGCGACGAUCAGUAGGGGUUCUGAGAGGAAGGUCCCCCACAUUGGAACUGAGACACGGUCCAAACUCCGACGGGAGGCAGCAGUGAGGAAUAUUGGUCAAUGGGCGAGAGCCUGAACCAGCCAAGUAGCGUGCAGGAUGACGGCCCUAUGGGUUGUAAACUGCUUUUAUAGGGGAAUAAAGUGAGCCACGUGUGGUUUUUUGCAUGUACCCUAUGAAUAAGGACCGGCUAAUUCCGUGCCAGCAGCCGCAGUAACAC
rnacentral:rRNA from 1 species